UUAACAAAAAAUUAACUUCGUU
rnacentral:snRNA from 1 species